CCUACGGGAUGCAGCAGUGAGGAAUAUUUGUCACUGGGCGCGAGCCUGAACCAGCCAAGUAGCGUGCAGGAUGACUGCCCUACGGGUUGUAAACUUCUUUUAUAAAGGAGUAAAGUGAGGCACGUGUGCCUUUUUGUAUGUACUUUAUGACUAAGGAUCGGCUAACUCCGUGCCAGCAGCCGCGGUAAUACGGAGGAUCCGAGCGUUAUCCGGAUUUCUUGGUUUUAACGGGAGCGUAGAUGGUUUGUUAAGUCAGUUGUGAAAGUUUGCGGCUCAACCGUAAAAUUGCAAUUGAUACUGGCAGUCUUGAGUACAGUUGAGGUAGGCGGAAUUCGUGGUGUAGCGGGGAAAGGCUUAGAUAUCACGAAGAACUCCGAUUGCGAAGGCAGCUUACUAAACUGCCACUGACAUUGAUGCUCGAAAGUGUGGGUAUCAAACAGGAUUAGAUACCCUUGUAGUC
rnacentral:rRNA from 1 species